rnacentral:lncRNA from 1 species
UCUCUGUCAUUCAUAUGUUCAGUGAUGCAAUCUGAAUUAUUAUGUAGAGGUUACUCCAGUCCUCACUAUUCUUCUAUUUGUCCCUGUUUAGUGUUUUACUUUUUUUUAUCAGCAGCACAAUAGAUAACCAUAUCUACAUUUGUCUCUAUUUUCUGUCAGGUUAGGCAACAGGAUGGCAGUCACAGGAGCCAUUGCAUUUUCUUUGUCGCAAUGGCAUUAGGUAGUUGUACCUACUGCGGUUGUUACACUAAUAUCUAUUUAUUACAUGUUGCUAUAGUUACAAAGCUUCAACAGCUUACUAUAAAUUAGACUGGUUUGAUUCCUAGAUAUUAUUGUAUUUUACCCGUAGGAUCAAUUUCCAAUGAGUUGGUGCCUAGGGUCUUGUGGGGAGCACAUUUUCUUUAGCUGCUGCCAUUUAUUCUGCUGCUUUCGUACAACCUAGCACUCUUCUGUGGUGGGCAUAUGUUAUUUUGUACCAAUGAUAGAUACAGAAAGUGCAAGACUUCUACUCUCUACUUAAUGAACUGAUUUUGCUUCAGGAUAACUAGCUUGAUUAAUUAGCAUGUUUCUGUGAUCAAUGAAUUACUAAGGUUGUGACCCCAGCUUGGAGGCUUGAGUUCCUUCCGUAGUUCUUUAUUUUACUUAAAUGAUCAUGAACCCUUUACUUAACAUAUGUCCUUUUGUACCUUAGCAAAGGGUCUCGCCACCGCGCGCAGUCCACCUCUCCCCGCAGGCAUGCCGGCCACCUCCCCACCUGAUGCACAUCUUUCCCAUGGGGCCAUGGAACACGGUGAGCAGCAGUGGUAUGAACCACAAAAUACUACUAUGAGAUUAGUUAAAUUCAGUGUUCUGUUGUAACUUUAAAAUUGAAAACCAAGUUUCCCUGGACAAAUAUAGUUUUUUGUGAGCUUAUUAUUGACAAUUUAUAGUAAUAUGCUAUUAUGGGCUUUGCUCCACCAUGAUAAGGAGGAAAGAACUGCAGGCUAUAUUGUUCGUUGACAUUCAUGAUCAGUUACACACCAAGCCUAUAUUUUUGCUGCUUCUACAUGUUGCUAUGAUGGUCAUCCAGCCCAUUUUCUUAUCGCACGACCUUGAAAAAGAGCUUAUUUAGUUAAUGAUUUUCACUUACUAAAAUUCAGAUAGCUCUUGCUGUGUACGGAGCUGUUGAUUACUCAAAACAUGUUGAUGUAUUAGUUUGUUUCGGAGAUGGUUUGGCAUACUGGCGGUUUCGCUGAACUCGAGAAAGUAGCUUCACAACACAAUGUGUAGUUCAGUGUAGUUCACAACACAAAGCUAGCUCAACCACACAGGCAGAUUGAUUGAUCCCUAAUUCCUCUCCGUGGCCAUUCUUUUAUCGGUCUUUCUGAUAUCUAGAGUACUUUCAUUUAAGACCAGAACAUCAACUUGUUUUUUGUUCUUAAUUUUGUUGGCAUAAUGGUUUUAGUAGUUGUGCCAUAAACAAAAGAUAUUAGCUCUUGACACCUCUUUAUGUUUAAUUUACAGGCUGUGUCACUUGUAUUGAGCACACCAAUCUGCCUCGGUAGACGGCUGCUGAAGUUGACCCACAGGUUGGAGACAAAGAUAGUGUGACAAUUGACUGACCUUGACAUGUUUGAGAAUUAGGCAAUUGAUUGUGCCAUUUCUCUGCGCAUUGGUACUUACUUUUAAAACCGGUAGAUUUUAAGAAAUAUUUCCGAUGCAUUAUAGAAUGCCACCAAAACAGAAUAACUCUCCUGCCUAUUUCCAUUUAUUCUUAACAUUGCUUGUUUUUCCUUAUGAUGCUACACUAGACUGCAGUUUUUGUUGUCACUACAAUGAUGUAUUUUUUGAUUCCAUCUGCUGUCGACGCAAUGCACAGAGGGUUCAACAACUGAAUAUUGUUAUGCUAACACAUGUUUAGUUGGUGUGUGUUUUGUCAGAUAAAAUGCAU